GAUGUUCCCUCAUUGGAUGGGAGAUUGAACUUGAUAACAAAUAGAGCCCCUAUGAAUGAACUUAAACUGUAGAAUUAAUGCAGUUUGACACCGCUUUUAACUGCUAUAUCUCAAUACUGUGGCAUCCUGGGAGUUGUCAUUUGGGGAAGCACCAGCACUCUUGGCCUAGAAGACCUUGUAAAGCUAUAGCUUCCAUGAUAAUUGGUGUUAAACUGCAUUAAUUCUGCAAAGCAGAUGUACCCAGAGAUUAUAAGAAUCUAGCAGAAGAAGAAAGCAUCAGAAAGUAAUGAACUGCUUUCUCUAUUUAUACAGCUCAAGGCCUCCAAAGCCUAGGUUGGUCUGGUGUUCUCUACAGAAGACAAUCCUCUGUUUGAAGAACUAUCUAAGUGCACAGCAAUUGAAAGCCAAGUGAAAGGAGGAAGGAGGAGAGAGAAACUGGGUCAUUUAUAAAGCAAUUGAAAAGUGGAACAGUCACUGUCAAAUGAGGACCAUUAGAGGAUAUGACACACCUUUCUAUAUAUGGACAUCUCUGCAGCUGUCAGCACAGUGUGUCUGCGAUGGCCAACAAUUCACCCUGAGAUGGAAGACAGGAUGAUUAUCUAGCAGUCCCAACAUGAUUUUGUCCUGCUUGGAAUGCAACUCACUGUUGCCGUGAUUUCAGGAAGGAGCAUGUGGUCACCUCCAGGACCAGUCCAAACUUGACCUGAAUUUACCAUCCAAUGUAGACAUGGCCUUAGAAAGGAGUCAGACUCUGAAGGAUCAACUACUUCUGUAUAAACCUGCUUUGUUUAUUGAGGUCAGGGGGGAACUGAAAAUGAUAGAGAUGGAUGAGUGAAGGUCAUAAGGAUCUUCAAUCUAGAGAUAAGAACAGAGAGACAAGGAGGAGCCAAGCCAUCAAGAUAUUUGGAAAUGAGGGCAAAAGGCAUGUGCAGGACCUUGGAGCAAUGAAGAUGGUGUUUGAAGUGUGGAGUCACAUAGAAUAGUGAAAUGGUAAAAUAAUUUUGACAAGACAUUGCUGCUGGAUGGAUGUGAAAAGACAAAGGGGAAAUCAGAACUUGAAAAAGCAACUAUCAGAUUAUCGUCUCCCAUUCUACAUAACUAUUGCAUUAGUCUACCAUUAGUUGUCAUGGCUCCAUUCCAUAGAAUCCCAGGCUUUGGAGUUUCAUGAGUUAUUUAAAAUUCUCUGCCAGAGAGAAUCAAUAGCUCAUCAAAGACUUGGAGUCUAUAUUGCACAGAUAUCAAAGCAAUAUCAAAAUGUUAUAAUUUUGUAGAGUGAAAGAGAGCUAAAACUUUCAGGAGCCAAUAGCAAAGGAUGUCUUGCAUCCCCUCCAGGCGUUGCAAUCCCAAAGUUACUUUCUCAAGCUUUAGGCAAGAGAAUGUAAGACCAUCUUAUCAUCUAUGUUACCUACUCACUCUGCCUUCUUUCAAAUACAUUCUUGUUCUCAUAUCAUGUGAAUUUUAUUUUCCAGGCUCAGUGCUCCAUGCCUCACUCACUAUGUGUCUUUUCCUUUUCUUAAAAGAAAUCUGUUUCCUUUCUUGCUUUGUUUUAUGAUGUGGUAAGCAGGACUGAACAUGCAAUGCUAAGGGAAACCUUGCCAGUGAUUUCAUUACUGCUUCCUUGCAUUUAUGUCCCCGCAUUUUCCAUCAUUUUUCAAUUUAUUCCUUAGAUUGUCCACAGUUGUUUAUGGGCAGGCUUCUCCUGUUAAGUCAAGGUCCCUUUCAAAGUUGCCUUGUUUCACUUUCAGUUCUUUACUCCUGGCCUUGAAUUUAUGAAUGCUGAGUGCCAAUAGGCAUGUUCCCUUUAUCAAGGGCAAGGAUUCUUUCUCAGGAUAUUUUAUAAGUUGCUGAAGAAGUACCCCAUUUUCCCCUCCCUUCUACUCCCUUUUGUUCUUUAAUGAUAUGCAGGAGUGGGGUGAGGGGAAGGAAGCAUAUCUUAUAUUAGCCAAGAUAGCAGACUCAGAUAUCUCAUGUACAUUUCUAUUGCCCGCCUGUCAAUCUUCAGCUUCACAUUCUAAUAAACCAAAUUACUUCUAACAUCUUUUGUUACUCUUUCUUAUCAUAUUCAUAUUUGUCUGGUUGGCCCUUUUGUGGGGAAGAGAAAUAAUGCUCAAGAAGACGUCAUUUAAUUUGAAAAAAAAUGGACUUUACCUUCUAAUCAACUGGAUGUCUUUCAUUCUCUUUGUUUCCAUUAAUAUCAAAAUGCAUUGUUAGCCACCAUGUUUGCAGACAUGACCAGGAGCCCGUUCACACUACACUAUCAUAGUGCUACAUUCUACUUUAACUGCCAUGGCAACAUCACUCGGAAACCUAGGAUUUGAGGUUUGGGAAGUGGCAUUUAGAAUUUUGAGCCAGAUAGCUCUGCUGCCUCACCAGACUACAAAACCCAGAAUUCCCUCAGAUGUUGCCACAGCAAUUAAAAUGAGAUCAUAGGACUAUAGCUGCCACAUCUUCUAGCAUUGUUAAGAUGAAUAGGGUGAUUGUAAAGAAAAUGUUAGUGAGCCAAUGUGGUGUAGUGGUUUAGGUGUUGGACUAUGACUCAGAAGACCUGGGUUUGAUUCCCUUCCUUAGGCAUGGAAACCCACAUGUUCUCAUCCCCAGAAACCCCUAUGGUAACUGCUCCUUCAGAAUGCCAUGAGUGUCAGGGAUUCCUCUUCUUCAGAAGAGGAAGGGGAGCAGGAAAGUGUUCAUGAAUCUGAGGGUGAGUUGGAGUCUGAGGAGGAGACUUUGCUAGUACCCUCAUUCCAGGAGAGGUGAAAGGAAACAGAGCAGAGACGUCGUACAGCUAGAUUAGCUGCCAGAAAUACAGCUGAGUAAUUAGGAACUGCCCUAGCAGCUGUGUGGGGACCCGGGGUUAUAAAAGCAGAAUCAGGUGCAGCCAGCUCUUGCUGGUCACACUGACUGUAAUGCCUUCACUCUCUGUGUGCCUGCUCCAAGUCUGCAUCUGGAUUAAUGCCUUUUUCUUUGUCUGAAGUAAGACUUCCUGGCUUUCUUUUGCAUUAUUUCAAUGAAUGUACUGUACUUUAUGUUUUGAUGAAGUAAAGCAGUUUUCAUUUA